CCUAGUUAAUCUUACCAAUAGUCAUAUACUUGUCUCUAAGAUUAAGCUAUGCAUGUGUAAGUGUGAACUAAUUCAAACUAUGAAACUAUGAAUGUCUCAUUAAAUCAGUUAUAGUCUGUUUAAUGGUAUCUACUAAUCAAAUAACCAUAGUAAUUCUAGAGGUAAUACAUACAACAAACCUUGACUUUUGGAAGGGAUGCAUUUAUUAGAUAAAAGGUUGACACGGGCUUUGCCUAUUGCUUUGAUGACUAAUGAUAACUCGACGGAUCACAUGACUUUUAUGUUGGUGGUGCAUCAUUCAAAUUUCUAUCUUAUCAACUUUCGAUGAUAGGAUAAUGGCCUACUAUGGUGGUAACAGAUGAUGGAGAAUUAGGCUUUAAUUCCAGAGAGAAAGCUUAAGAAACGAUUACCACAUCAAAAGAAGGUAGGCACACAAUUUACCUAAUCUUGACACAAGGAGAUAGUGGCAAUAAAUAACAAUACUAGGCUCCAUGAGUCUGAAAAUUAGAAUGAGUAUAAUCUAAAUCCUUUAAAGAGGAUCCAUUAGAGGGUAAGUCUAGGGCCAACAACUACGGUAAUUCCAACUCCAAUAUCAUAUAUUUAAGUUAUUGCAGUUAAAAAGCUCAUAGUUGGAACUAGGGUUAGGUCGUCCAGUCUACUUCAUGAUGAGCACUGGUCAAGUUAUCCCUACCAUCGAUGAUAUGUUCUUGGCCUUAGCUAGGUAGGUUAAUCCUUUGGCACUGUUAUUUUAAAGAAAUUAGAGUGCUUAAAGUAGGUCUAUGCUUGUAUACAUAGCAUGGGAUAACAUCAUAGGAUUUUGAUUCUUUUGUGUUGGCCUUCGGGAUCGAAGCAAUGAUUAAUAGGGACAGUUGAGGGCAUUUAUAUUUCAUAGUCAAAGGUGAAUUUCUUGGAUUUUUGAAAGAUGAACAAUUGUGAAAAUAUUUGCCAAGGUUGUUUUCAUUAAUCAAGAUUGAAAGGUAAGGGCUAAAAGACAAUUAGAUACUAUCCUAGUCUCAACCAUAAACGGUACCGACCAGGGAUCAACAGAUGUUACUUUUAGAACUCUACUAGCACCUUAUGAGAAAUCAAAGCCUUUGGGUUUCGAGGGGUGUAUGGUUGCAAGUCUGAAACUUAAAGGAAUUGACAAAAGGGCACCACUAAGAGUGGAGCCUAUGGCUAAAUUUCACUCAACAUGAGAAAACUUACUAGCUCCAAACAUAGUAAGGAUUGACAAACUGGGAGCUCUUUCUUGAUUCUAUGAGUGGUGGUGCAUGGUUGUUCUUAGUUGGUGGAGCAAUUUGUUUGGUUAAUUCCAUUAACGAGCAAGACCUAAGGCUACUAACUAGGUGAUCCUUCGUGGCUAGCUUCUUAGAGGGACUAUGGCCACUUAGGCCAAGGAAGUUUGAGGUAAUAACAAGUCUGUGAUGCCCUUAGAUAUUCUUAGCUAGAUGCAAGCUACACUGAUAUAUUCAAUGAGUUUAUAGACUUGGCUGAUAGGCCCAGGUAAUCUUUGAAAUUUUUUCAUGAUGGAGAGAGAUCAUUGUAAUUAUUGGUCUUCAAUGAGGAAUUCCUCAUAAGUGUGAGUCAUCAACUAAUGUUGACUACCGAUUGAAUGGUCCGAUGAAGUGUUCAAAUCACGAUGACUUAGAUGGUUUGCUGCCCGCGACACUAUUAGAAGUUCUUUAAAUCUUAACAUGUAGAGGAAGAAAAAGUCAUAACAAGGUUUUCAUUGGUGAACUUGUGGAAG
rnacentral:rRNA from 1 species